UACGUAGGGUGCAAGCGUUGUCCGGAAUUAUUGGGCGUAAAGAGCUCGUAGGCGGUUUGUCGCGUCGAAUGUGAAAACCCGGGGCUCAACCCCGGGCCUGCAUUCGAUACGGGCAGACUAGAGUUCGGUAGGGGAGUCUGGAAUUCCCGGUGUAGCGGUGAAAUGCGCAGAUAUCGGGAGGAACACCGGUGGCGAAGGCGGUUCUCUGGGCCUGUUCUGACGCUGAGGAGCGAAAGCGUGGGGAGCGAACAGG
rnacentral:rRNA from 1 species